GCAAGAUUUGGAGACUUCGAGUAUCCCUAAAAGUAAAAAUAUUUUGUUGGAUUAUUCUUAAGAAGUGACCUCUUACUGUAGACAACCUAAUAAAGAGAGCUUGGACUGGCAACACAGUCUGCGUGUUGUGCAAGUUCGAAGAGGAAACUGUUAAUCAUUUAUUCACACGAUGCAUCUUCUCGAGAUUUCUAAUGAUAACGACCUUGGAGUAUGCCCAGUCUAGAGAUUGGGGCGAUGAUGUGAUCUCGAUUUAGGAUAGAUGGAUGGCGAGGAUUGGAAACGCAGUCAUCAAGUACUACAUUAUUCGGAUUGGUAGUCUGCUGGUGGGCAAUUUGGGAGGUCAGGAAUAGCGUGAUCUUUAGGAAGACCCAACCGGACCCCUUCCUUGUAGCUCACAAGAUUAAACAGCUGAUGAAUUUUUUAGAGCAAUUUCUAUCAGCUAAUCGGCCGCACGCUUGCAGUCGGUAGUUUUUUUUUCUUCGCCCCCUCCAAGGCCUGUGUUACCUUACCCCUAUAGCUUAAUUUAUCUUUUCAAUGAAUGAAGCAGGUAGUGUGUUACCUAGUUAUCGAAGGAAAAAAAAAUAGUGAUACGCAGAAAGAUCCAAAAGG
rnacentral:lncRNA from 1 species